ensembl:lncRNA
GCGCAUUUGCUUCGUGACUUGGCGUUGUGGAUACUAUCUGAUGGCUAACCCUAGUGUGGUCACAGGUAAAUGCCAGCGACAGCCAGUGUCCCUCCCUCCCUCCUCCUGUGUGUAAGUGUGUGUCCUGGAACAGGUAUGGUAUGAGAGGGAAUGAGACCGCCUACAGGUUGGAGAUUGACCAACUGGUGACGUGGUGCAGUCGAAACAACUUAGAGCUCAACGCCCUGAAGACAGUGGACUGUAGCCGACCCCUCUCACCCUGGACACAGACUCUUUGGCUCUUCUUCCAUCUGGCAGGAUGCUGCGGUCCAUCACGACCAAGACCUCUCACCACACAAACGGUUUUUCCCGUCAGCAGUUGGUCCGAGCCCCCCAUUGACUUGGUCAAUGUCUGUGAGAUUAAUGUUUCUUAAAUCUGAAAUACGUUGUUAUUUCAAAAGGUUUGAAAGAGGGUAUGUCUCUCCUGGUAACGUUACAGCUUUCCACCACCGCAUCAUCAAGCCUCCCAGAUGACUGAGGAGCAAACUCUUCCCUGGACUUCUCCGUCCCGCUAGAUGUCUGAGAAGCCAGAGGUCCCUACUCCACUUGGUUUAUACGCUGGUUAAAUGCUCAAAUAGCGUAUAUGGUGACCAAACGCUACACCUCCAGCCACCAGUCUGUCAGGCUCCUGAAUUGCAGAUGACACCACCCUCAUUGGACUCUGGUGGGAAUGAGACCGCCUACAGGUUGGAGAUUGACCAACUGGUGACGUGGUGCAGUCGAAACAACUUAGAGCUCAACGCCCUGAAGACAGUGGACUGUAGCCGACCCCUCUCACCCCGGACACAGACUCUUUGGCUCUUCUUCCAUCUGGCAGGAGGCUGCGGUCCAUCACGACCAAGACCUCUCGCCACACAAACGUUUUUUCCCGUCAGCAGUUGGUCCGAGCCCCCCAUUGACCCAAAUACUCCAUCCCGGAAACAUUAUGCACUUUGGAUUCUUUCACCAUGCAAACAUAUGGACAUACAUAUGUGAAUACAUUUCUGUUUAUAUUGUUAAUUCUUGCUUGUAUAUUUGUCUUAUUUUACUUUAUUCUUUAUUGCACCAAUGCACAGAGUCCUCUAUAUGUAACCUGUGGCAAUAAAAGGCUUCUGAUUCUGGUUUUGAGCAAA